rnacentral:tRNA from 1 species
GCGGAUAUGGCGAAGUUGGUUAACGCACUUGAUUGUGAAUCAAGCAUUUUCAUGGGUUCGAGCCCCAUUAUCCGCCCCA